GGGGCAGUUCAUCACACACACCAUGCACCACAAGUGAUGGUGAAAAAAUGGUGCAAUACACUGAUGGUCGGAUUGUAUUAUUGGACUCUCCAGAAAGAACACAGUCUGUCACAGUUGAUGAAGAUGACGAUGAAGAGACCACAUCUGCUGUGACAGAAGUGGACAAUGCUGAAGUAGAUCCACUGAGGUAUGAUGCAUACCAUUAUAAUGUAUUGCCCCUUUUUGCAUUAAAGUAACAAACUGUCAUUGUCUUUUCACAGUACAUACCUAGGGGUUUGCCCACAGAUGAGGGUCCUUCAACCUCAGCACACAAUCUAAGCAGGGUAACAAUUUGUGUCCAGG